rnacentral:rRNA from 1 species
GACGAACGCUGGCGGCGUGCCUAACACAUGCAAGUCGAGCGGAGAUGAUGUGAGGAAGUUUUCGGAUGGAAUCACAUUAUUUUAGCGGCGGACGGGUGAGUAACGCGUGAGCGACCAACCUUGCACAGGGGGAUAACGGACCGAAAGGUUCACUAAUACAGCAUGAAACCACGGUGUUGCAUGACACCGAGGUCAACGGAGGAAUCCGGUGCAAGACGGGCUCGCGUCCGAUUAGGUAGUUGGAGGGGUAACGGCCCACCAAGCCUAUGAUCGGUAGCCGACCUGAGGGGGUGAUCGGCCACAUUGGAACUGAGAUACGGUCCAAACUCCUACGGGAGGCAGCAGUGGGGAAUAUUGGGCAAUGGGGGAAACCCUGACCCAGCAACGCCGCGUGAAGGAAGAAGGUUUUCGGAUUGUAAACUUCUGUCCUUGGUGAAGAGAAGAAGACGGUAGCCAAGGAGGAAGCCCCGGCUAACUACGUGCCAGCAGCCGCCGUAA